GUUAGUCUAGUUUAUAAAAAUAUUAGCUUGUCGAGUUGAAGAUGCAAUUUAUUUGCGACUAAUU
rnacentral:tRNA from 1 species